CAGAUGGCUUGGGCCUUCCCAAGACCGGGUCAUAUCUUCGCGGGCCCCCUCCCGCCAGAAAAUGACAGAGGGAGGGAUGUCUACAGCUCCCCCCUGGGGCUCUCCCCCAGGGCCAGCACCCCAGUGAGCUGAGUGAAAUGAGGGAGGCACUGGCCUGGGCGCCAGAAAACUCAAUAACCAGAAGUAGUAUUUGCAGCAGUACUUUUAAAAAUCAAAAUCAGUGCCACACCUCCAGGGGCAUGCCCUAAGGCCUUUCGGACCCUGAAGACCCAGGUUCCUGACGCUGAUGCUCCCUGCUUCACCCUGUGGGGUCGGCCUAGGGGCACCUCCAGGGGUGGAAGCCUCGCCCUGCUGAAAUGAGGGAGGGGCAGGAAGAAGGUCUCCUUCCCUUGGUCCCCAGAUGACCCAAACCAGGUCUGGAAGGUGCCUCCUCGCCAAGCCCAGCCAGUCCCUCCCUCCCCGACCCCUCCAGCCAGGGUCAGAGCCCAGGCCUGCCUGGCCAAAUCCCGCCACCAACGGCAGUUCUGCUAAGACGAGAUGCUGGUCAUGGGUAUGGAUUAAGCUCCUACUGGAUGCCACAGCACCGGACAAAAUAAGGGCAACUGUCAAGACUUGCUUCCCUUUUCAGUAUUCACAUUGAUCACUGGAGCUCCUACUUGCCCAGAAGAAGAGGUGGUCAAGCCUUCAUUGCCUCUGGAUGCCCUCUGGGUAGGAGCCUGGGGGAGAGGGGGCUAGCACCAGCCUCCACCCCUCCCCUGUUAAGCCCUCACCCCCUUCAGGACUGAUCCUGGACCCUGAGGCUAGAGUCAGGUUCACUGACUUCAGUUCAGUGAACCUUCAGGUUCACUCGGGCAGGAUGAACUCCGCUCUAAGUGGGGAUGUCCUGAGCUGUGGGUGAAGAUGGCAGGUGGAGUGGUAGUGGUCGCCUUAAUUUCUCUCUGCCCAGGAGGCCAGCCACUUCCUUCCUUCGCUCCCCAUGGAGCAGGUGGUGGCUACCAGCCUUACACGCCUACAUAACCAAGAGGGAGUCCGGGGCCCCCAGAAGACCUGUUCUGCAGACAUUUUUGUAUUCCCCAGGAGAAGCACCUGGCAACUUAAACUUUUAAAAAUAACUUUAACAUUUUUUAGUAUAAUAUAUACACAGAAAAGUACGCAAAGUGUACAGUUUGAUGAAGGAUCCCGAAGUGAGCAUACCCAUGGAACUACCACCUCGAUCAAGAAAUGGAACAUUCCAGCAGCUGGUCACUGCUAACAGGAAGCAGGGAGCUGCUUGAAGUUCUGCCUAUGUCAGCACUUGGCCACAUCUAGAACUAUUUUCUUCAACACGAUCUUUAAUGACUGAAUUAUGUGGAUAAAUCAUAAUUUAAUAACCUCCCUUUGUUGGUUUCAUUUUACUUUCUUAGCUCUUCUAAAUGAUGCUGUAAUAAGCACCCUUGCACACGAAUCUUUGUGUCUGCUCUGCUCUGUACUAGCCUCAGAGGGCCUGAGGUUGGUUCCAGCCCUUAUCUGUGAGCUGCACGACUCACUCUGCCUUUUUUCUUUCUAUAAAAUGGCAAGAAUGGUAAGGAUUUAAAUGAAGGGAUGUGUCGGGUGUGUUUAGUACACAGUCCCGUGCUUACAAACACUCAAUAAGCAGUAGGCAUUAUGAGCACCUUAGCUUAAUUUGUUAGAAGUUGGAUUUCUGGGGGCGCCUGGGUGGCUCAGUCGUUGAGUGUCUGCCUUGGGCUCAGGUCAUGGUCCCAGGGUCCUGGGAUCGAGCCCCACAUCGGGCUCCCUGCUCCGCGGGAAGCCUGCUUCUCCCUCUCCCACUCCCCCUGCUUGUGUUCCCUCUCUCACUGUCUCUCUCUCUGUCAAAUAAAUAAAAAAACAUUAAAAAAAAAAAGUUGGAUUUCUGGAGAAAGGGUUUGAAUAUUUCUAAGGUUUUGACGCAGGUUACUCAGCUGCUUCCAGAAAGGUGGUCUCCAUUUACCUGCCCAGAAUGCCCUGGCUCUUAUCACCACUGUGUACUAUCUUCUUAAAAGAACAUUAAACAUGGGGUAGGGUUAAAAACCGUCAAUGUGUCUUUUUUUUUUAAGCUGCAUUCUUUGAUUACCUGUGAGAGUGAGCCUUUUCUCUUUUGUGUUCGUUGACCUUCCAUAUGGUUUCCCUGCCUCUACCUUUGUACACAAGUCUAUUCUAGGACGUAGCCAAAAUGGCCCUUUUAAGACAUAAGUCAAAAUUUCUCUCUUCUGCUUAAAACCCAGCAGUGGUUCCCCAUUUCCCCAGGAAUAAAAGCCAAAGCCCUCUUAGUGGCCUCCAGGGUCCUCACCAAUUGGACCCUUGCUCUCCCUGCCCCAGCCACACGGGCCACCCCUCUGUCCCUACAGCACCCCACCCCACCCCACCCCCCACAGCGCUCUGAACUUGAGCUUUGCUCAACUGUCACCUGCUCAGUGAGGCCCCAAUCCUUCACUCCUGAUCUCCUUACUUUUCUUUUUCUUUUAUCCAUAGUACUUUUUUUUUUUUUAAAGAUUUUAUUUAUUUGACAGAGAGAGACACAG